rnacentral:rRNA from 1 species
CCUACGGGUGGCUGCAGUCGAGAAUCAUUCACAAUGGGGGAAACCCUGAUGGGGCGACGCCGCGUGGGGGAAUGAAGGUCUGCGGAUUGUAAACCCCUGUCAUGUGGGAGCAAAUUAAAAAGAUAGUACCACAAGAGGAAGAGACGGCUAACUCUGUGCCAGCAGCCGCGGUAAUACAGAGGUCUCAAGCGUUGUUCGGAAGCACUGGGCGUAAAGGGUGCGUAGGCUGUUGCGUAAGUCGUGUGUGAAAGGCGCGGGCUCAACCCGCGGACGGCACAUGAUACUGCGAGACUAGAGUAAUGGAGGGGGAACCGGAAUUCUUGGUGUAGCGGUGAAAUGCGUAGAUAUCGAGAGGAACACUCGUGGCGAAGGCGGGUUCCUGGACAUUAACUGACGCUGAGGCACGAAGGCCAGGGGAGCGAAAGGGAUUAGAUACCCUGGUAGUC